UCUCCCCGCCUCUCUCUGUAUCCCCUUUCUGUAACUUCCUCUUUUCGCCCAUUUGCACAACUACGUGUCGACACACUGUGCAACAUAUAUUGUACAGUAUAUAUGCGCAAUGACAUGUACAAAUGCUUGAAAAGGUGCGAAAAAAGGAACUGAUUGAGACAUUAUAGUUUGCAGACUAAGAGAUAAGUUAGAUAACUUUACAAAUGAGGAAGUGGAGUGUUGAAGAGGCUGUUUUUGAGACUGACUUAAAAAAGAAAGGGGGGUUUCAGCGCGACAAUAUGACCUCACCUCCUUAAAAACACGUAUAUCAUAACAGAGCACCAUCGAUUCCUCUUCUGCGAGGUUGUUGCAGGCCCUACCUCUUCCACCCGAAAGCCCGUGUCUAUCAAACUAUCAGUGGAAUGUUGAACCAGGCCCCUGGGGCCCACACACGCAGCAACACUCAGCAGCACUCAGCACCUGUUUCCGACUGCCAGCACAGAGAAAGAGACGCGGUCAAUCACACAGGACAGCUCAGUGCAGGGGAAAGAGCAGAGGAGGGUAGGAGACAAACAACAAGCAUUUUAUCAGCAAAAAUACACAACUGAGUAGCUACAGUGUUAUCUUUCACAGCAGAGUGUGACUGCAUGUAACUUAGCAAUAUUAUAUGAAUUAUAUAUGUUAUAAAUAGGAUUUAGGCCAGUGCAGUUUCCAUUCUUUGUCUCAUUUUGGUACUUUUCAAAAUAAACAGUUUUUGCUUCAGUGUUAAAGUGCUAACGUUGCUUGUGCACUGCUUGAAGCUACUCCUUCAAUACAGUAAAAAAGAGCCACAAAGUAUUUAAAAGUGAUAUAUGGUGUUCUUAAAUAUGGUGUUCCUUCAUAUUUUCAGCUUUUUAAAUCUGAAUAUGGUUCACAUGAAGAGACUUCCAGGCCUGAAUUAUUCAGCUGUAGUGUACUGAAACAUGUAAUUGUACAACCAGUUAACAGCUAGUAGACUUUAAAAUAACCUGCUAGUAUUAAUUGCCAAACAAGUGUGUCUAUCCACCCUUUGGGUCAGAAUCAUACUUAUGACAAAAUUUAAAAUACAUCCUAUGAGUCUCAAAGUAAUUCUAUCAAAAAUAAUCCGAAGAACGUACACAGUAAUAACUAGUACACGCCCGUGCUCCAGUAACACUUAAUGACACCGAGAGAAAAAAACAAAACAUGGGUGGCUGACGUUGUUUAUACACUAAAAAUAGGUCCUUAAAAUCCAUUGCUAGGUGGGUGCUUUGCAACAUGAUUUAGUCAUAAUAUAUUGAACUUCACCUUUUAUGGAUCUAAACAAGACCUUAAUAUUGUGCUUUUAUAAGGCAUAAAGGUGUAUAAAAUCAAAAAGGGGUCAUUUUAGGCUGUUACUACGGGGUUGGCAACCAACAUGACUAUGGUGAUAUAGAGAUGUUAAAAUAAAAAGCCUCACAAACUGUGAAUGUUUCUGUUGUAUUCAGAUUUCUCACUUCUCUAUCUGACUUCAGUUACCCAGACAGUGUCAGGGAAAGCUCUGAGGAAGGAUCAGAAGCACUGAUCACCACUGGGCCUCCCCUCCUAUGGGCUGAAGGGCUGCUGUGAGUCGGUGGAUUGGAAGUCAAUGAAACCAGGCCUAAUUUAGCCUUCGCUCCUCCACGAGCUGCCAGGAGUCUGAAGACUCCCUGCAGUGAAACAGCACCCUAACCUGGAGAUUCAUCUCCCUGAGUUUUUCCAAGAUUUACACUUAUUAAUUUUUAAUGGUCUGGACUUUGUAAGAAAAAAAUGUGCAAAUGUGUUCUUGAAUAUGAUUGAAUUUGUGUAUAUGUGGAUGUUUUAAUCCAUAGUUACAGUCAUUGUUCUUUUAAAGUGAGCCAACUAUUUUUCUCCACUUGGCGUCAGUGGGAUGAAUGUACACGUAUGCUUUUAUCUCUGAGUGAGUGCAGCGUCCCCAUGCAGCACAGCACACAACAGCAGAGAAACAUGUUUUAAAUAUAUGAAUAUGUAUUAAUCCCACUAAAGUGUCUUAUAAUAGCAAAAGUCUUAUAAUGCCUGUGAAAAUGCUCUAUGAGACAUGAUACACAAUAAUGAGUGUUUUAAUGCAAUCUGCCCUGUGUAGAUGUGAAGUGUUGAGUAGCAGUUUUGUCCACAUGUAAGACAUAAAUUCCUGUCUCUGUCACACAGAAAGUUGGACUAGAUAUUUGUUUUGAAUUUGAAUAUUUUAAGCUCUGGAGACCAAAAUAUUUCCAAAGCAAACACAGUUAUUCUCAUGCUAUCAUUGAAAGUCACAUGUCAGUCUCAUUCUGCCAUUAAGAUUAUUUGCAGUAUGAAUUUAUCAUGGCAUUACUGAAGCCACAAUGAAGAAACUCUGACAGGUAGAAAACAACUGAUUUUGAAACGUUUACCCAAGUCCACUAAAAUCUAACAAUAAAUGUUCAACUGUGGCUGCUGUUGGUUAGCAUAUAAUGUUGAAAACACAUUAACAAGCUCAAAAAUUGACAGAAUGGUAGAGGAGUACACAAAGACUUAACCACAUGCACUUUACUGUGGUAUAAAAACUACUGCAGAUCAAUGCAUUUACUGCAUUUGGAACCCUCUCUGCUGAUGCGACUCUUACUAUUAGAGGGCUCUGGGCUUACCCUGCUGCUGAUGGAGGAUAUCAUGUGCUUGCACAUGGAGCUUCACAACAUUAGCCCCAGUUUUGUGUCACAAAAAUUAGAGUGCACGCCACCUGCUGGACAUUUGGGAAUCUAUAGUAAAUAUUCUUUGUUUUUAAUGAUUUUUUCCUUCUUCUGUAUACAACCAAGAGUUAAAACACAACCCAUGUUGUGACACAACUGUCUUGCACACAGUCUUCACUUACACAAUCGUCUGAAGGGUGUCAGUGUGUCAGCAGCACAUAGAGCUUAUCUGUUGGGUUGUUAUCAGCAAACAAACAGCUCACACACCACACUGUGCAAUGGGAGGAACUUAGAAUAUGUAGUGCGGUGUGAAAACACAAACAAACAGACAGCUUAAUAUUGAGACAGAGGUCUGUGUGCAGUUUAAUAUCUGCCAUUGUUGUUGAGUCUUACCUCCAAUAUCACACAUCACGAGGACACCAUGAAGUAACGUCCUCGUGAUGUGUAAUUUUCAGUUAGAUGCACAGCAGCUGGCAUAUUUCGUAACACCUGCUUACACUUGAAGUGCGCUGGGUUCAGCUUACAAAAGACUUAUGAGAAAAUCUAAAGCAGCAUUAUUUGCUGUGGUCAGAUAUACGAGAUACUAGUUUCAACCAAAGAGGUCAGUGUUAUGUAGGUUAUUUUGUAAGCAUGAUGCUACUGGACUACUGGACACUAGAGAGCAGCAAAGCAGCAUAAAACCCAGGCUAGCCCUCUCAAAUGUAUUUUUUCCUUUUAAUUUUGCACAUUUGGUGCAUUUGUACAAUAAAUAUUCCAUAAAUCUUUCCAUUUGUAAGCGCAUGAAUACAAGCAGAAGUCAUCUGCUAAUGCACUUCAUAUAUUUUCACUCUUUUAUGAAUGUAGGCAAUUUUUAGAUCUCUGUGAAUUCACUUGCACUACCUCUGCAAGCCAUAAUGAUUUAGAAAGCAUCAGCAAAGGGGCAUAGAUGGCCGUUUUGACUUUAUAAUAAAUUAUUACUAUUAUUGCCACAUAAUCCAGUCCAGUCUUUUGGGGCAGAAAAAAAAUGAUUAAAGUUAAGACACAAAAAAAGUGUAAACCAUAACUUGAAUCAUUUAUUCCUCAGUUUAUAUGAAUUUGCACCAUGUUGAGAGGUAGACUAAGUUCAUGGGGAACAGGUUCACUGUAUCUUCUUGACAGACAGUUAGACCACAGGCAAGCCUCUCCCAAGCACCAAUUGUUCCUUUACAUUGACAGAGCAGAUGAAUAUUUAACAGGAGGAGGGAAAGUGGUAGGCAUCAGAUCACUAAGAAGAAAAUAGCACUCACCCCAGGUGACCCCACCACCAACAGUCCGAUGACAGACUAGAUUGCUGCUGCUGAUUGGCUGCUUAUAUUGUUGUUGACCCAAAGGAGAGCUGUGUAAUGAGCCUUAAAUGAAAGCAUAUAUGUGGGAAUAGAACAUGUGUCUAUAGGUGGGCUGAGUACCUUCAUGAGAGAAGCAGACAGGGUGGAAAAGACUGCGGUCAGCACCAUGGACAGCAAAAGGAGAAUCAUCCAGGUGAUCAGCGCCAUGCAAGCGGAUAUCAGAAAGCUGGAGCUGGAAAACAUGGGCCUGAAGAGGAAAGCUGGAAGUAAUCUCAGAAAGAAUGCAUCAGUUCCCAUCAUGGCAGCAGAAUGCAGAGAAAGCGUCGUCAUGACAGUGAGACGAUAUUCAGUCUUCCAGCUGCGGGUCAAUCAUCGAUAUUUGACCAUGGGCAUUUCAAAGAGUGAGGGAGGGACCGGAAAGAAGCAACGCUGACCCUGAGCAUAGUCAAACCAGAGGUGGAGCCAGACAUUUUAUACACCCAGGGCUUAGCCCUAAAGGGUAGUAUGCAUGUGGGAUUGGAGGGGGGGUGGAGUUGCUGUGGAUUUGCUAAACCCCAAUUCAACCAGACCCACAACUGACCCGGAAUUAAAACAGGACUACAACAGUUCAAAAUCAGGACUACUUUAGGACUUAACCAAGAUAGAACCAGAAUCAAAACUAGAUGAUAGUAGCACUGAAAAUCAUCAUAGACCUGCACUACACUGACAACUUCGACAUCUUCGAGACUUGAGUUUUGCGAACCUAUCAAUGACAUUUUCAGGGUCAAUAUUAUUCAAGUAUUCCAAAAAGAUACACUAGGUACUAGAUACAUGUUCUAAUGAGUUUUGGCAAACAACCAUUUGACUAACAUGUCUGUCUCACCUGG